rnacentral:rRNA from 1 species
CAAUAGCGUAUAUUAAAGUUGUUGCAGUUAAAAAGCUCGUAGUUGGAUUUCUGGUUGAAGCGACCGGUCGGGCGUUGAUUCGUCUGCACUGGAGUCGGUUUUGGCCAUCCUCUAGGAAAGUGCGUCUGGUAUUAAGUUAUCGGGCGUAUGAUCCUGGUCUUUUACUGUGAAAAAAUUAGAGUGUUUAAAGCAGGCCUUCGCCUUGAAUACAUUAGCAUGGAAUAAUAAGAUAGGACUUUGGUCUAUUUUGUUGGUUUGCAGACCGAAGUAAUGAUUAAUAGGGAUAGUUGGGGGUAUUUAUAUUCCGAUGUCAGAGGUGAGAUUCUUAGAUUUUCGGAAGAUAAACUUAUGCGAAAGCAUUUACCAAGGAUGUUUNCAUUAA